UGGGGAAUAUUGCACAAUGGGGGAAACCCUGAUGCAGCGACGCCGCGUGAGCGAAGAAGGUUUUCGAAUCGUAAAGCUCUGUCCUAUGGGAAGAUAAUGACGGUACCAUAGGAGGAAGCCCCGGCUAACUACGUGCCAGCAGCCGCGGUAAUACGUAGGGGGCAAGCGUUGUCCGGAAUCACUGGGCGUAAAGGGUUCGCAGGCGGAAAUGCAAGUCAGUUGUGAAAGGCAGAGGCUCAACCUCUGUAAGCAAUUGAAACUGUAUUUCUUGAGAUGUGGAGAGGCAAGUGGAAUUCCUAGUGUAGCGGUGAAAUGCGUAGAUAUUAGGAAGAAUACCGGGGGCGAAGGCGACUUGCUGGACACAAACUGACGCUGAGGAACGAAAGCGUGGGUAGCAAACAGG
rnacentral:rRNA from 2 species